UACGUAGGGCGCAAGCGUUGUCCGGAAUUACUGGGCGUAAAGGGCUCGUAGGCGGCCAACUAAGUCAGACGUGAAAUCCCUCGGCUUAACCGGGGAACUGCGUCUGAUACUGGAUGGCUUGAGGUUGGGAGAGGGAUGCGAAUUCCAGGUGUAGCGGUGAAAUGCGUAGAUAUCUGGAGGAACACCGGUGGCGAAGGCGGCUUGCUGGGCAGUAGCUGACGCUGGAGACGCGAAAGCGUGGGGAGCGAACAGG
rnacentral:rRNA from 1 species